rnacentral:lncRNA from 1 species
AUAUCUUAUAUUUUUUAAAUCCAAAAAAUUAUAAAAUUCUAAAUAAAAAUUAGCAUUAACAAAUUUAGUAUAAUAAAUAAAAUAAUACAUACUAUAAUUUUUUUUUUUUUGAGAGAUAGGUAGCACACUACCGGCUUCGUUUAUUUAAUUUAGAAAUAAACUUAGCUAGAAAUGUGAAUCAACUAGAAUUCGAACUUUGAUCUCGGAUACCAAUCACCAAUUCUUUGCCACUUACUUUAGGGACGAUCGAUUAUUAUAAAAAUAUU